rnacentral:antisense_RNA from 1 species
AGUAACCAAAAAUUGUCGCUGGGUUUAAAUUAGGAUUGCUAAUUAGGCGGACAUCUCCCAAAUUAGUAUCAUAAAUUCCGCCAAAAAUCGUUGCCUUUAGCACUAACAAAAAUGCUCCCAAACCCAGAAUAAUCAGAUGAUGACCUAAGAUUAAACCCAAUUGCUUGGCGUCAUUCCA